rnacentral:rRNA from 1 species
AGCGAACGCUGGCGGCAGGCCUAAUACAUGCAAGUCGAACGCACCUUCGGGUGAGUGGCGGACGGGUGAGUAACGCGUGGGAACGUGCCCUUUGGUAUGGAACAACUGAGGGAAACUUCAGCUAAUACCGUAUGUGCCCUUCGGGGGAAAGAUUUAUCGCCAUUGGAGCGGCCCGCGUUGGAUUAGCUAGUUGGUGGGGUAAAGGCCCACCAAGGCUACGAUCCAUAGCUGGUCUGAGAGGAUGAUCAGCCACACUGGGACUGAGACACGGCCCAGACUCCUACGGGAGGCAGCAGUAGGGAAUCUUGCGCAAUGGGCGAAAGCCUGACGCAGCCAUGCCGCGUGAAUGAUGAAGGUCUUAGGAUUGUAAAAUUCUUUCACCGGGGAAGAUAAUGACGGUACCCGGAGAAGAAGCCCUGGCUAACUUCGUGCCAGCCGCCGCCGUAA